rnacentral:rRNA from 1 species
GAUGAACGCUAGCGGCAGGCCUAAUACAUGCAAGUCGAACGAGAUUCUUUUCUUCGGGAGAGAUGAAAGUGGCGCACGGGUGCGUAACGCGUAUGCAACCUACCCUUUACUGGGGGAUAGCCCGGAGAAAUUCGGAUUAAUACCCCAUGGUAUCAUCAGAUGGCAUCUGAAGAUGAUUAAAGAUUUAUUGGUAAGGGAUGGGCAUGCGUGACAUUAGAUAGUUGGUGAGGUAACGGCUCACCAAGUCAACGAUGUCUAGGGGUUCUGAGAGGAUGAUCCCCCACACUGGUACUGAGAUACGGACCAG